rnacentral:rRNA from 1 species
CACGUAGGGUGCAAGCGUUGUCCGGAAUCAUUGGGCGUAAAGAGCUCGUAGGCGGCUUAGUAAGUCGGGUGUGAAAACCCCAGGCUCAACCUGGGGACGCCACCCGAUACUGCUAUAGCUAGAGUCCAGUAGGGGAGUGUGGAAUUCCCAGUGUAGCGGUGAAAUGCGCAGAUAUUGGGAGGAACACCAGCGGCGAAGGCGGCUCUCUGGGACGGUACUGACGCUGAGACGCGAAAGCGUGGGGAGCAAACAGG